UUUGCUUUCGUCAUAUGCGAGUUAGGGGCUUGCCGACAGGUAAACCGCCGCUGUACUUAGAUGCAAAAGCUGCCUCCCUUAUCUGGAACAGAAUAAAUUCCUUUCGAAGGCAAAAUAAAAAACAGAAAGAGAAGUCAUCAAGGCAUUCCACAUCCAUCUUAUUCAGUCUUUACAGUGUUGCUACAUCACCAUUUGCUUAGCCUCCUAUGCCAAAAAAAAUUGUCGAAAAUAAAAUGACCUGAUUCCCAUGUUUUUCACCACCCAA
rnacentral:lncRNA from 1 species